GACGAACGCUGGCGGCGUGCUUAACACAUGCAAGUCGAACGGAAAGGCCUGCGUUCCCUUGUGGAUUGCGGGUGCUCGAGUGGCGAACGGGUGAGUAACACGUGAGUUAUCUGCCCCCAACUUGGGUAUAAGCCUGGGAAACUGGGUCUAAUUCCCGAUAGGACUGCAGGGUGGUGGCUGUGGUGGAAAACGAUGUUCUAGUGGUUGGGGAUGAGCUCGCGGCCUAUCAGCUUGUUGGUGGGGUAAUGGCCUACCAAGGCGGCGACGGGUAGCCGGCGUGGGAGGGGCGACGGCCACAUUGGGACUGAGACACUGCCCAGACGCCGACGGGCAGCAGCAGUGGGGAAUAAUGCACAAUGGGCGGAAGCCUGAUGCAGCGACGCCGUGGGGGGGAUGACGGGCUUCGGGUGGUAAACUCCUUUUGAACGAGAGGAAGCCGCCUGGUUGGAAGGGUGGUGACGGUAGUGGUAGAAGAAGCACCGGCUAACUACGUG
rnacentral:rRNA from 1 species